rnacentral:rRNA from 1 species
GAGUUUGAUCUUGGCUCAGGAUGAACGCUAGCGGCAGGCUUAAUACAUGCAAGUCGAGGGGCAGCAGGGGUGUAGCAAUACACUCGCUGGCGACCGGCAAACGGGUGCGGAACACGUACGCAACCUACCCAAAACUGGGGGAUAGCCCGGGGAAACCCGGAUUAAUACCUCGUAACCUAAUGAAGUGGCAUCACUUUAUUAGUAUAGCUCCGGCGGUUUUGGAUGGGCGUGCGCCUGAUUAGGUAGUUGGCGGGGUAACGGCCCACCAAGCCUACGAUCAGUAACUGGUGUGAGAGCACGACCAGUCACACGGGCACUGAGACACGGGCCCGACUCCUACGGGAGGCAGCAGUAAGGAAUAUUGGUCAAUGGACGCAAGUCUGAACCAGCCAUGCCGCGUGAAGGAUGAAGGUCCUCUGGAUUGUAAACUUCUUUUAUAGGGGAAGAAAUCUCUUGAUUCUUCGAGAGUUGACGGUACCCUAGGAAUAAGCACCGGCUAACUCCGUGCCAGCAGCCGCCGU